rnacentral:rRNA from 1 species
UACGGAGGGAGCUAGCGUUGUUCGGAAUUACUGGGCGUAAAGCGCGCGUAGGCGGCUUUUUAAGUCAGGGGUGAAAUCGCGGGGCUCAACCCCGGAACUGCCCUUGAAACUGGAUGGCUAGAAUACUGGAGAGGUGAGUGGAAUUCCGAGUGUAGAGGUGAAAUUCGUAGAUAUUCGGAAGAACAACAGUGGCGAAGGCGACUCACUGGACGGUUAUUGACGCUGAGGUGAGAAAGCGUGGGGAGCAAACAGG